rnacentral:rRNA from 1 species
UACGGGGGGGCAAGCGUUGUUCGGAAUUACUGGGCGUAAAGGGCUCGUAGGCGGCCAACUAAGUCGGAUGUGAAAUCCCCAGGCUUAACCUGGGAACUGCAUCCGAUACUGGAUGGCUUGAAUCCGGGAGAGGGAUGCAGAAUUCCAGGUGUAGCGGUGAAAUGCGUAGAUAUCUGGAGGAAUACCGGUGGCGAAGGCGGCAUCCUGGACCGGCAUUGACGCUGAUGAGCGAAA